rnacentral:rRNA from 1 species
AUACGGAGGGUGCAAGCGUUACUCGGAAUCACAGGGCGUAAAGCGCGCGCAGGCGGCUAUUUAAGUUGGAUGUGAAAGCCUACGGCUCAACCGUAGAACUGCAUCCAAAACUAUUUAGCUAGAGUGUGGGAGAGGAAGAUGGAAUUAGUUGUGUAGGGGUAAAAUCCGUAGAGAUAACUAGGAAUACCAAAAGCGAAGGCAAUCUUCUGGAACACUACUGACGCUGAGGCGCGAAAGCGUGAGGAGCAAACAGGAUUAGAAACCCUAGUAGUCC